UUUUAUGGAGAGUUUGAUCCUGGCUCAGGAUGAACGCUGGCGGCGUGCCUAAUACAUGCAAGUCGAGCGAACGGACGAGAAGCUUGCUUCUCUGAUGUUAGCGGCGGACGGGGGAGGAACACGUGGAUAACCUACCUAUAAGACUGGGAUAACUUCGGGAAACCGGAGCU
rnacentral:rRNA from 1 species